rnacentral:lncRNA from 1 species
UAAUGAUAGAAAAAGGAAGACAUUUAAAAAUACCUAGAGAAAAAAGACUAUCCACACCCUGUAAUACAAUGGAGAAUGAAGCCCAUUUUAUUUCAUACUGUAAAAAAAAUGCUAAACUAAGAUAUAACUUUAUAGGAAAUGUAAUUAAACAUAUGCCAGAUAUUAUGUCCUGGCAAAAACAAUGAAAAAAUUAAAUAUCUUCUUAGCCCAUCAACCCUCAAAGAAAUAGAAAGCUUAUGGUCCUAUUUUAAACAGGCA